UACGUAAGGUGCGAACGUUGUUCGGAAUCACUGGGCAUAAAGAGCACGUAGGCGGUGGGGUAAGUCCAAUGUGAAAUCCCUCGGCUCAACCGAGGAACAGCAUCGGAUACUGCCUGACUAGAGUGCAGUAGGGGAGAGCGGAAUUCCAGGUGGAGCGGUGAAAUGCGUAGAUAUCUGGAGGAACACCGGUGGCGAAAGCGGCUCUCUGGACUGUAACUGACGCUGAGGUGCGAAAGCCAGGGGAGCAAACGGG
rnacentral:misc_RNA from 1 species